GGGCUAGUGGCGCAAUGGAUAAUGCGUCUGACUACAAAUUAGAAGAUUCUAGGUUCAACUCCUGGCUAACUCG
rnacentral:tRNA from 1 species